GGGGAGCAAUCCCUGAGUAAAGUGGCGCACGGGUGAGUAACACGUGAAUCAUCUACCUCCGAGUGGGGAAUAACCUAGAGAAAUCUGGGCUAAUACCGCAUAACACUUACGAGUCAAAGCAGCAAUGCGCUUGGAGAGGAGUUCGCGGCCGAUUAGUUAGUUGGCGGGGUAAUGGCCCACCAAGACGAUGAUCGGUAUCCGGCCUGAGAGGGCGCACGGACACACUGGAACUGAAACACGGUCCAGACUCCUACGGGAGGCAGCAGUGGGGAAUUUUGCGCAAUGGGGGAAACCCUGACGCAGCAACGCCGCGUGGAGGAUGAAAUAUCUUGGUAUGUAAACUCCUUUCGAUGGGGAAGAUUAUGACGGUACCCAUAGAAGAAGCCCCGGCUAACUUCGUGCCAGCAGCCGCGGUAAUACGAGGGGGGCAAGCGUUGUUCGGAUUUAUUGGGCGUAAAGGGUGCGUAGGCGGUUUGGCAAGUCUUAUGUGAAAUCUUCGGGCUCAACUCGAAGCCUGCAUAAGAAACUGCCGGGCUUGAGUAUGGGAGAGGUGAGUGGAAUUUCCGGUGUAGCGGUGAAAUGCGUAGAUAUCGGA
rnacentral:rRNA from 1 species